GUCUCUGUGGCGCAAUUGGUUAGCGCGUUCGGCUGUUAACCGAAAGGUUGCUGGUUCAAGCCCACCCAGGGACG
rfam:Ciona savignyi cont_35638, whole genome shotgun sequence.